rnacentral:pre_miRNA from 1 species
UCUCCCAACCCUUGUACCAGUGUCAUGUUACUGGAACCCUGGUACAGAGGAUGGAUGAGA